AGGGGUGUAGCUCAGGGGUAGAGCAUCUGCUUUGCAUGUAGAAGGUCCCUGGUUCAAUUCCCUGCAUCUCUA